rnacentral:lncRNA from 1 species
UACCUCCACCCACCCCCUCUAUCCAUCCCCUCUAUCUAUCUAUCCAUCCCCCCAUCUAUCUAUCUACCCCAGCCACCCCCUCUAUCUAUCUAUCCACCCCCCCUCUAUCUAUGUAUCCACCCCCAGCCAUCCCCUCUAUCUGCCCCCCAUCUAUCUAUCUACUCCAGCCACCCCCUCUAUCUAUCUAUCCACCCUCCCCAUCUAUCUAUCCAUCUCCAGCCAUCCCCUCUAUCUAUCUACCCCCAGCCACCCCCUCUAUCUAUCUGUCCAUCCCCAGCCGCCCCCUCUAUCUGUCCCCAUCCACCCCCUCUAUCCAUCCCCUCUAUCUAUCUAUCCAUCCCUAGCCACCCCCUCUAUCUAUCCAUCUAUUUGUCCCACGCACCAGUCUCUCUGUCUCUCCCCACCCCCUGCCUGUCCAGCCCUGGUGCCCAGCUCAGCAGCUGACACUGAUUCACCGCCUGUCACCCUCCUGUGCGGUGACACACACCCGCGGGUGCCUGUUGUCACACUCGGUGCCCCAGGCAGGGCAGGGAACCAGAUCAGUUUCCAGGCCUCCUUAGGCCUAGGCGAGGCCGGGCUGCUCGGGGGGCCGGGCCGGGCACUGCCGUGGGGUGAAUCCAGCUGGUGCCUGGGGGGCCAGACCGGGCGCUGCCGUGGGGUGAAUCCAGCGGCUGCUCGAGGGGCCGGGCGCUGCCAUGGGGUGAAUCCAGCGGGUGCCUGGGGGGCCGGGCGCUGCUGUGGGGUGAAUCCAGCGGCUGCUCGAGGGGCCAGGCGCUGCCAUGGGGUGAAUCCAGCGGCUGCUUGAGGGGCCGGGCGCUGCCAUGGGGUGAAUCCAGUGGCUGCUCAGGGGUCCGGGCACUGCUGUGGGGCGAAUCCAGCGGGUGCCUGGGGGGCCAGGCUGGGUCCUUCCCGCUGUGUCCUGCGGGUCUCCUGGCACUGCUGGGCCGGGCGCUGGGAUCUCGCCAGGCCCCACGAUCCCUCUCCACAAACCAGUUCCCCCCCCCGGCACUUCACUACGAGCUGCACAACCGUUACUGAGGGGCCCACGAGCAAUUUCCCGAAUGUUUCAUUUUCAGCCUGAAACGUUCGUUUUCACUUUUCGAUUUGCAGCGAAGGUCCCAGCGGGCCGGCCCAUGGGUGCCCCAGAGCCCCCGGCCACGGC